AAUAUGGGAUGUGUUUGCACCGUUAUACCCAGCCAACAGAAACAGAGCUCUGGGACAUGUGGACAGACACUGACUGUAAUGAUGGACAUCUACAAAUGCACAGGCAAGAAGCAUAACCCCUUCUGGACAUCGUGCUGGAGCUCGGGGGGGGACCCCAUGAUCCCCCACACCUUCUCACUCACGCCACACCAUUCACUCAUAUCGCGGAGAUCUGGCUGGAUUCGAACCAGCAACCUCUGAACCGGGUUUGGAGCAGAAGGUGGAAGACGGAAAUGUCUAUGCAACCCAAAACCUUGGACCAGAGAGGUGAUGGUCAACUCAGAUUACAGACUGUGACCUCUGUGUGGUUGACAGCUGACUUUGAGAGGAAAAAAGGUCACUGCUGAUGUCUAGCAGAACCAGACCUAUAGCAAAACCCAAUGAAACUUGUAAAAAAAAAAAAAAAAGGGUAAGGUAAGAUUUGAAUGGUUCAACUUACUAUAAUCAUAACAUUCAUAACAUACAUAGGCCCUAAUGCACAGAAAUCAUGCUUGAAUUAACGAUUAUGUGCUCUUCAUUAAAUAGCUGUCUGUAUUUUCUUUUACUUUAGCCUUUUUGCAGACCAAUGUGUUUAUUCAACAUGUUCCAAUUUGGCGUAAAUCCAUUCCACCGUUUUGCUUUCGGAAAAUGAGAGCAGGACUCGAAAACCCUGAAUGCUAAAGUGUUCUUCAGAGCACCUGCACGCUCGAAUGGGCUUCAGAUGGCAAUUAGGAAAUGGCCUGUGAAAUGACUUGAUAACAGCAGACUCCAGAGAUGGUGGAGUCCAAUUCGUUUAAAGCCGAGUAUUUGUGGCCUCUGGGGCUUGGGGGCAGAGGCUUGCUGAUAGUACAUUUAAAUUAUGUCUUGACCACAGCAGCCUGAAGUCAACCUUGAAAAACAUCAUUCAGCUGAUGCAAAGUCAGAGAAACUCAAAAGCCCUCUAAUAAUACAGCAGCAUCCGAGCGAACACAGGAUAAACUCUCCCUUCAUUCACUGUCAUUCACAACCACAAAUAAAUAAAUAACCAUCCACCAGUUGACCAAAAAUUGUUAUUGUUAUUGUCAACAUGCUGGUGGAGUUUUUGCAAUUGCAACUUUAUUUCUCAUUAUAGUGACUUCCUGUUUCCUAAAUGCAGUUGUAUUUCUCACAGUGUGACUUUCUUUAAAUAUUUCUCAUAAAUACUCUACUCUGAGGCAGAGACAGGCUUCCAUAAAAGAAAAAAAAAGAAUAAAAAUAAAUAGGUCUUUAUUUCAUAUAUAAUUCAAAAUCAUCAGGAGGUGCAGUUCCACCUGCUCUUCUUGAGUGGCACAGUGACCUUUUGUUUGUCACAAAUUUGCAAAUAAAUUUGUCUCUGUUGUCAUAGAGACAAAUAUAUAAGAAAUAUUUAUAGCUUGGUAUAUUUUCUCAAUUCACCCACCACUGACAGAUGUCAUACAGUGAGAUUAUUAAGUCAACUCGGGUUUAAAGUGACUGUUUCCCC
rnacentral:lncRNA from 12 species